rfam:Gossypium raimondii Chr09_contig_353, whole genome shotgun sequence.
AACCCGUGGUGAGAGAGCACCUUCUUAAUAAAUCCUUAUACCUCUCCCAUACAUCAUAUAGAGUCUCUAAGUCAAUCUGCAUAAAGGAAGAGAUAUGAUUCCUCAGCUU